rnacentral:rRNA from 1 species
GUGGGGAAUAUUGGACAAUGGGCGCAAGCCUGAUCCAGCCAUGCCGCGUGAGUGAUGAAGGCCUUAGGGUUGUAAAGCUCUUUCAGUGGGGACGAUAAUGACGGUACCCACAGAAGAAGCCCCGGCUAACUUCGUGCCAGCAGCCGCGGUAAUACGAAGGGGGCUAGCGUUGUUCGGAUUUACUGGGCGUAAAGCGCACGUAGGCGGAUCGUUAAGUCGGGGGUGAAAUCCUGGAGCUCAACUCCAGAACUGCCUUCGAUACUGGCGAUCUUGAGUCCGGAAGAGGUGAGUGGAACUCCUAGUGUAGAGGUGGAAUUCGUAGAUAUUAGGAAGAACACCAGUGGCGAAGGCGACUCACUGGUCCGGUACUGACGCUGAGGUGCGAAAGCGUGGGGAGCAAACAGGAUUAGAUACCCGAGUAGUCC